UUUCACACUGUCAAGAAAAGCUUCUAUCGAGUUUAAAGGCGCCCGUACCGUAAACCGACACAGGUGGGUGAGGAGAGUAUCCUAAGGCCAGCGAGAGAACUAUUGUUAAGGAACUCGGCAAAAUGACCCCGUAACUUAGGGAGAAGGGGUGCCUGUCUAUGACAGGCCGCAGAGAAUAGGCCCAAGCGACUGAUUACCAAAAACACAGGUUUCUGCUAAGUCGCAAGACGAUGUAUAGGAGCUGACGCCUGCCCGGUGCUGGAAGGUUAAGGGGAUCUGUUAGAGCAAUCGAAGCAGUGAACUUAAGCCCCAGUAAACGGCGGCCGUAACUAUAACGGUCCUAAGGUAGCGAAAUUCCUUGUCGGGUAAGUUCCGACCCGCACGAAAGGCGUAACGAUUUGGCCACUGUCUCAACAAUAGACUCGGUGAAAUUGUAAUCCCGGUGAAGAUGCCGGGUACCUGCGACAGGACGGAAAGACCCCAUGGAGCUUUACUGUAGCUUGACGUUGGGUCUUGGUACUACAUGUACAGGAUAGGUGGGAGACUAUGAAGCAUGGACGCCAGUCUGUGUGGUGUCAUCCUUGGGAUACCACCCUUGUAGUACUGGGAUCCUAACCAUAGGCCUUGAAUCAGGUCUUGGAACACCGUCAGGUGGGCAGUUUGACUGGGGCGGUCGCCUCCUAAAAAGUAACGGAGGCGCUCAAAGGUUUCCUCAGCACGGUCGGAAAUCGUGCGAAGAGUGUAAAGGCAAAAGGAAGCUUGAUUGCAAGACAUACAGGUCGAGCAAGGACGAAAGUCGGACUUAGUGAUCCGGUGGUACCGCAUGGAAGGGCCAUCGCUCAACGGAUAAAAGCUACCCUGGGGAUAACAGGCUUAUCUCCCCCAAGAGUCCACAUCGACGGGGAGGUUUGGCACCUCGAUGUCGGCUCAUCACAUCCUGGGGCUGUAGUAGGUCCCAAGGGUUGGGCUGUUCGCCCAUUAAAGUGGUACGCGAGCUGGGUUCAGAACGUCGUGAGACAGUUCGGUCCCUAUCCGUCGCAGGCGUAGGAAAUUUGAGAAGACCUGUCCUUAGUACGAGAGGACCGGGAUGGACGUACCUCUGGUGUACCAGUUGUUCUGCCAAGGGCAUGGCUGGGUAGCUAUGUACGGAAUGGAUAAGCGCUGAAAGCAUCUAAGCGCGAAGCCAACUUCAAGAUAAGAUUUCCCACCGUAAGGGUAAGACCCCAGGAAGACUACCUGGUUGAUAGGUCGAAGGUGUAAGUGCAGUAAUGUAUUUAGCUUAUCGAUACUAAUAGGUCGAGGACUUGACCU
rnacentral:rRNA from 1 species